rnacentral:tRNA from 1 species
GUAAUUAGGUUUCAAGUGGUAGAGUUUGUGCUUAGCAUGCAUGAAGUCCUGGGUUCAAUCCCCAGUACUUUCA